AACGAACGCUGGCGGCAGGCUUAACACAUGCAAGUCGAACGGGCGUAACAAUACGUCAGUGGCAGACGGGUGAGUAACACGUGGGAACGUCCCCCUCGGUUCGGAAUAACUCAGGGAAACUUGAGCUAAUACCGGAUACGUCCGAGAGGAGAAAGAUUUAUCGCCGAGGGAUCGGCCCGCGUCUGAUUAGCUAGUUGGUGAGGUAAUGGCUCACCAAGGCGACGAUCAGUAGCUGGUCUGAGAGGAUGAUCAGCCACACUGGGACUGAGACACGGCCCAGACUCCUACGGGAGGCAGCAGUGGGGAAUAUUGGACAAUGGGCGCAAGCCUGAUCCAGCCAUGCCGCGUGAGUGAUGAAGGCCUUAGGGUUGUAAAGCUCUUUUGCCAGGGAAGAUAAUGACUGUACCUGGAGAACAAGCCCCGGCUAACUUCGUGCCAGCAGCCGCGGUAAU
rnacentral:rRNA from 2 species